GUGCUCACUUCAGCAGCACAUGUACUAAAAUCGGAACAAUAUGGAGAAGACUAGCAUCGUUCCUGCACAAUGAUGGCAUGCAAAUUCAUAAAGUGUUCCAUAUUUCU
ensembl:snRNA U6 U6 spliceosomal RNA